GGAGGGGGCAAGCGUUGUUCGGAAUUACUGGGCGUAAAGGGCGCGUAGGCGGCCCCGUAAGUCAGAUGUGAAAGCCCUUGGCUUAACCAAGGAACUGCAUCUGAGACUGCAGGGCUAGAAUCCGGGAGGGGAGAGUGGAAUUCCCAGUGUAGCGGUGAAAUGCGUAGAUAUUGGGAGGAACACCGGUGGCGAAGGCGGCUCUCUGGACCGGUAUUGACGCUGAGGCGCGAAAGCCAGGGGAGCAAACGGGAUUAGAUACCCCGGGUAGUCCUAGCUGUAAACGAUGGGCACUUGGUGUGGCGGGUAUCGACCCCCCUGCCGUGCCGAAGCUAACGCAUUAAGUGCCCCGCCUGGGGAGUACGGUCGCAAGGCUG
rnacentral:rRNA from 1 species